UAACACAUGCAAGUCGAGGGGUAACAGAGAUUGCUUGCAAUCUGCUGACGACCGGCGCACGGGUGCGUAACGCGUAUGCAACCUACCUUUUACAGGGGGAUAGUCAAUAGAAAUGUUGAAUAAUACCCCAUACGAUCGUUUAUUGGCAUCGAUAAACGAGGAAAACUCCGGUGGUAAAAGAUGGGCAUGCGUCCUAUUAGCUAGAUGGUGAGGUAACGGCUCACCAUGGCUACGAUAGGUAGGGGUCCUGAGAGGGAGAUCCCCCACACUGGUACUGAGACACGGACCAGACUCCUACGGGAGGCAGCAGUGAGGAAUAUUGGACAAUGGAGGCAACUCUGAUCCAGCCAUGCCGCGUGCAGGAAGACGGCCCUAUGGGUUGUAAACUGCUUUUAUACAGGAAGAAUGUUAUCUACGUGUAGAUAUUUGACGGUACUGUACGAAUAAGGAUCGGCUAACUCCGUGCCAGCAGCCGCGGUAAUACGGAGGAUCCAAGCGUUAUCCGGAAUCAUUGGGUUUAAAGGGUCCGCAGGCGGUUCAUUAAGUCAGAGUGAAAUCCUACCGCUCAACGGUAGCAUUGCCUUUGAUACUGAUGGACUUGAAUUAUAGUGAAGUAGUUA
rnacentral:rRNA from 1 species